GGGUGAAGAUAAGACGGAUUAGCGGCGGACGGGUGAGUAACACGUGAGUAACCUGCCUUUUACACAGGGAUAGCCUCGGGAAACCGGGAUUAAAACCUGAUGAAACUAUCAAAUCACAUGAUUAAGAAAGUUAAAACUCCGGUGGUAAAAGAUGGACUCGCGUCCCAUUAGCUAGUUGGUGAAGGUAACGGCCCACCAAGGCAACGAUGGGUAGCCGGCCUGAGAGGGUGAACGGCCACAUUGGAACUGAGAAACGGUCCAAACUCCUACGGGAGGCAGCAGAC
rnacentral:rRNA from 1 species